AAAGACUGAAUUUUUUGGUUUUCGUGUCCAACAUUUAACCUCCCGUCUUAUAUGAAUUUUUUUGUGAUUAGUAUUUUCAUUAUUGUUAGAUGAUAAAACAUAAAUAAUAUUUUAUACAUGACUUAUCUUUUUAAAUUUUUUUAAAUAAAAUGAACGGUCAAACGUUAGACAUAGAAACCUAAGAAUUGAGUUUUU
rfam:Oryza meridionalis cultivar OR44 (W2112) chromosome 10, whole genome shotgun sequence.